AAAGGUAAGCUACUAAGAGCGAAUGGUGGAUGCCUUGACUGGUAAAGGCGAUGAAGGACGUACUAGACUGCGAUAAGCUACGGGGAGCUGUCAAGAAGCUUUGAUCCGUAGAUUUCCGAAUGGGGCAACCCAAUGUAUAGAGAUAUACAUUACCUAUAUAGGAGCGAACGAGGGGAAUUGAAACAUCUUAGUACCCUCAGGAAAAGAAAUCAAUAGAGAUUGCGUCAGUAGCGGCGAGCGAAAGCGUAAGAGGGCAAACCCAGUGCUUGCACUGGGGGUUGUAGGACUGCAAUGUGCAAGAGGUGAGUUUAGCAGAACAUUCUGGAAAGUAUAGCCAUAGAGGGUGAUAGUCCCGUAUGCGAAAAACAAACCUUAGCUAGCAGUAUCCUGAGUAGGGCGGGACACG
rnacentral:rRNA from 1 species